rnacentral:rRNA from 1 species
GCUGGCGGCGUGCCUAACACAUGCAAGUCGAACGAGAAAGUGGAGCAAUCCAUGAGUACAGUGGCGUACGGGUGAGUAACACGUGACUAACCUACCCUCGAGUGGGGAAUAACUUCGGGAAACCGAGGCUAAUACCGCAUAAUGUCUACGGACCAAAUGCGCAAGCAGCUUGAGGAGGGGGUCGCGGCUGAUUAGCUUGUUGGCGGGGUAACGGCCCACCAAGGCAAUGAUCAGUAGCCGGCCUGAGAGGGCGCACGGCCACACUGGAACUGAAACACGGUCCAGACUCCUACGGGAGGCAGCAGUGGGGAAUUUUGCGCAAUGGGGGAAACCCUGACGCAGCAACGCCGCGUGGAGGAUGACGCCCCUUGGGGUGUAAACUCCUUUCGAUCGGGACGAUUAUGACGGUACCGGAUGAAUAAGCACCGGCUAACUCUGUGCCGGCAGCCGCGGUAAUACAGAGGGUGCAAGCGUAGUUCGGAAUUAUU